GAUGAACGCUGGCGGCGUGCCUAAUACAUGCAAGUCGAGCGAACAGACGAGGAGCUUGCUCCUCUGACGUUAGCGGCGGACGGGGGAGUAACACGUGGAUAACCUACCUAUAAGACUGGGAUAACUUCGGGAAACCGGAGCUAAUACCGGAUAAUAUAUUGAACGGCAGGGUUCAAUAGUGAAAAACGGUUUUGCUGUCACUAUAAGAUGGAUCCGCGCCGCAUUAGCUAGUUGGUAAGGUAACGGCUUACCAAGGCAACGAUGCGUAGCCGACCUGAGAGGGUGAUCGGCCACACUGGAACUGAGACACGGUCCAGACUCCUACGGGAGGCAGCAGUAGGGAAUCUUCCGCAAUGGGCGAAAGCCUGACGGAGCAACGCCGCGUGAGUGAUGAAGGUCUUCGGAUCGUAAAACUCUGUUAUUAGGGAAGAACAAAUGUGUAAGUAACUAUGCACGUCUUGACGGUACCUAAUCAGAAAGCCACGGCUAACUACGUG
rnacentral:rRNA from 1 species